rnacentral:rRNA from 1 species
CCCCUAGAUGUUCUGGGCCGCACGCGCGCUACACUGAACAGUUCAACAAGUCUUAACCUUGGCCGAUAGGUCUGGGUAAUCUUUGAACGCUGUUCGUGAUUGGGAUAGACCUUUGCAAUUAUGGGUCUUCAACGAGGAAUUCCUAGUAAACGCAAGUCAUCAGCUUGCAUUGAUUACGUCCCUGCCCUUUGUACACACCGCCCGUCGCACCUACCGAUUGAAUGGUCCGGUGAAGCCUCGGGAUUGUGGCUGGUUUCCUUUAUUGGAGGUCGGUCGCGAGAACUUGUCUAAACCUUAUCAUUUAGAGGAAGGUGAANUCGUAACA